rnacentral:rRNA from 1 species
ACGGCAGCGCGGGGCAACCUGGCGGCGAGUGGCGAACAGGUGAGUAAUAUAUCGGAACGUACCCAAGAGUGGGGGAUAACGUAGCGAAAGUUACGCUAAUACCGCAUACGAUCUAAGGAUGAAAGCAGGGGACCGCAAGGCCUUGUGCUCCUGGAGCGGCCGAUAUCUGAUUAGCUAGUUGGUGGGGUAAAGGCCCACCAAGGCGACGAUCAGUAGCUGGUCUGAGAGGACGACCAGCCACACUGGAACUGAGACACGGUCCAGACUCCUACGGGAGGCAGCAGUGGGGAAUUUUGGACAAUGGGCGCAAGCCUGAUCCAGCAAUGCCGCGUGAGUGAAGAAGGCCUUCGGGUUGUAAAGCUCUUUUGUCAGGGAAGAAACGGUGGGAGCUAAUAUCUCUUACUAAUGACGGUACCUGAAGAAUAAGCACCGGCUAACUACGUGCCAGCAGCCGCGGUAAUACGUAGGGUGCAAGCGUUAAUCGGAAUUACUGGGCGUAAAGCGUGCGCAGGCGGUUUUGUAAGUCUGUCGUGAAAGCCCCGGGCUCAACCUGGGAAUUGCGAUGGAGACUGCAAGGCUUGAAUCUGGCAGAGGGGGGUAGAAUUCCACGUGUAGCAGUGAAAUGCGUAGAGAUGUGGAGGAACACCGAUGGCGAAGGCAGCCCCCUGGGUCAAGAUUGACGCUCAUGCACGAAAGCGUGGGGAGCAAACAGGAUUAGAUACCCUGGUAGUCCACGCCCUAAACGAUGUCUACUAGUUGUCGGGUUUUAAUUAACUUGGUAACGCAGCUAACGCGUGAAGUAGACCGCCUGGGGAGUACGGUCGCAAGAUUAAAACUCAAAGGAAUUGACGGGGACCCGCACAAGCGGUGGAUGAUGUGGAUUAAUUCGAUGCAACGCGAAAAACCUUACCUACCCUUG